rnacentral:rRNA from 1 species
UACAGAGGGUGCAAGCGUUAUUCGGAAUUAUUGGGCAUAAAGCGCAUGUAGGUGGUUUGAUAAGUCUGAUGUGAAAUCCCCGGACUCAAUUCGGGAAGUGCAUUGGAUACUGUCAGGCUAGAGUAUGGGAGAGGUGAGCGGAAUUCCAGGUGUAGAGGUGAAAUUCGUAGAUAUCUGGAGGAACAACAGAGGCGAAGGCGGCUCACUGGACCAUUACUGACGCUGAGGCGCGAAAGCUAGGGGAGCAAACGGG